rnacentral:rRNA from 1 species
AUGCACGCUGGCGGCGUGCUUAACACAUGCCAGUCGCACGAUGAAGCCCAGCUUGCUGGGUGGAUUAGUGGCGAACGGGUGAGUAACACGUGAGUAACCUGCCCUUGACUCUGGGAUAAGCCUGGGAAACUGGGUCUAAUACUGGAUAUGACUUCUCAUCGCAUGGUGGGGGGUGGAAAGAUUUAUUGGUCUUGGAUGGACUCGCGGCCUAUCAGCUUGUUGGUGAGGUAAUGGCUCACCAAGGCGACGACGGGUAGCCGGCCUGAGAGGGUGACCGGCCACACUGGGACUGAGACACGGCCCAGACUCCUACGGGAGGCAGCAGUGGGGAAUAUUGCACAAUGGGCGCAAGCCUGAUGCAGCGACGCCGCGUGAGGGAUGACGGCCUUCGGGUUGUAAACCUCUUUCAGUAGGGAAGAAGCGAGAGUGACGGUACCUGCAGAAGAAGCGCCGGCUAACUACGUG